GAUGAACGCUGGCGGCGUGCCUAAUACAUGCAAGUCGAGCGAACGGACGAGAAGCUUGCUUCUCUGAUGUUAGCGGCGGACGGGUGAGUAACACGUGGAUAACCUACCUAUAAGACUGGGAUAACUUCGGGAAACCGUAGCUAAUACCGGAUACUAUUUUGAACCUCAUGGUUCAAAAGUGAAAGACGGUCUUGCUGUCACUUAUAGAUGGAUCCGCGCUGCAUUAGCUAGUUGGUAAGGUAACGGCUUACCAAGGCAACGAUGCAUAGCCGACCUGAGAGGGUGAUCGGCCACACUGGAACUGAGACACGGUCCAGACUCCUACGGGAGGCAGCAGUAGGGAAGCUUCCGCAAUGGGCGAAAGCCUGACGGAGCAACGCCGCGUGAGUGAUGAAGGUCUUCGGAUCGUAAAACUCUGUUAUUAGGGAAGAACAUAUGUGUAAGUAACUGUGCACAUCUUGACGGUACCUAAUCAGAAAGCCACGGCUAACUACGUG
rnacentral:rRNA from 1 species